GUAGGUAUAUAAAGAAUUCGACCACUGGGUAAAUUCGCCAAAAACAUGUCUAGUGUUUUGUAUUUCGUAUUGGUUAUAGUCAUGGUCUUGUUUUUCUUCGGUCUAAUUCUGGCCAGAGAAACGCAAGAUCGCAAAAAAGAAUUUUGAACCUAAAUUGGGGGAAUACCUGACCGGAACGGACGCUACAAAAUCUUCUAGACGUUUCCACAAAAACAUGUAUUUAUAUGUUAAUCAUAAUUUAAAAUAAAUAUGGAUAAAGCAGCCAUGAAAACUACAGUAUUGCCACAUUAGACGAAACGUAGCAAAAUUUGAAACAUGUGUAAGGUCAUCAAAACCGGAUUCGACUCUUCCUGUACUCCUUUACCUUUAUGCUGACACCAAUUCUUGAUUUUUCCUAGUUCGUUCACUUUCCGCAGCCAUCUCAAGACUACAAUUGACGCAAAAAAGCAACCUUGAACUAGCGUAAAAUAAAAUUUCUUCGAAACCUGU